UUGAGGGACGCGCAGUA
rnacentral:misc_RNA from 1 species